AACCAAGCGUUUUGUCUGUAUUUAAAUGCAUUUAUUGAUAAUUGUCAGGUUUUGAAGAAGGCUUUCUACAGUGGAUACCAAGAUACUGUAUUCUUUCUACAGCAAAACAAUGCUUUGCCAUUGUACCCUCAGAGGAGAAAGGAGUCGGAUGUGUCUGAUGAUUCACUGAGCUCAGAUCACUGGAUGUUAACACAGACUAAUGAGGCUGAAAAAGACGAAUCCCAAAAAGACUCGCCAGAGCAGCCCGAAGACAAGAGCAUCAAUGGAGAUUGCUCAUCUGUGAGUCCAAACCCAGUAAAAGUCCAGGAAGGUACUGUAGUCUCCCGUGUGCAUUUCUGAUGAUGGAUGAAUGAUUAUAGAAGAGUAAAACGAGUAUUUUCUUUUCUAGUGCUGCUGUGUAACAUCAUGAGUCAGCUGGAGAUCAUCGGUAAUUCUAAAAUCUCUCUGCUUCAGAGGCUGCUCUCCUAUGUGCUCUUACUGUUCACAUUGCCAAUCUGGAGUAUCACCAACUUAUGGGACAGGUACCAGAAUUGGCUCUCCGAUGCUGCAGUUGUGUCGUACUGGCUCUGGCAUAGCUUGAAAGUAUUUAUGAUGUUUGUACUGAACAUCUAUUUUUCCACUUUGAGGAAAGCCCUUGGAGACAUGUAAGCACAGACACCCCAAAGUAUUAACAUUUGCAUUAUAAUUACAGUACAGAAAUACAAUAACGGUUACUUUUUCAUCAGUCUGAUCAAAUUUCUACCUGAGCAAGUUCACGAUGAGCACCGAAGGUCCAGAGAGAAGGCUGAGAGACAUGAGGUCUCCUCCAACAUGAAUGGAGAGGCCUCUUCUAUUGUCCUGGGGAGUGUCUCUAUGGCUCAGACCCUGCCAAAACUCUACGCAGUCCUGUUUUUACUAGAGGCAGAGAGCAAAUGGAGAAAACGCAAGAUAGAGGUGCAACACACACUACAGCAACAAGUGGCUGCAAAAAAAACGAGUUAAAACUGUGCAAGAAAUGUGAAAGCAUUGAUUUUUUUUAAAAGCUAAAUACUGAAUUCGUAUUCAAAUAUGUACUAACAUUUGAAACAAUGCUCUAGAUCAGGGGUCCUCAACCACCAGAUCACAGCUCAGUACUGGGUUGUGAAAGGGUCACACCAUUGCUCUACAGUCCCUGACAAAACUUUUGUCGCUUAACUAUUUUGUUGAAACACCUGCUAUUAACCUGACUUUUAAUCAAUGGGUGUUAGAAAUAGCUCAAGUGAAAAGCUAAAAGCCUCCCAAAUGAUGUUUAAAGCAUUGAAAUAAAUUAGUUUCACCUAAAAAAGAUGUAUCAUUUAAAUAAGACUAAAAAGUCAAAUUUUGGUGCGAGAAAAGUUUAAACAAAUUUACUGCAAAUACAAAAAUACGUCAGCAAAUUAAGUAGUGGUGCUAUGAGAUCCAAGUUUAAUGUCUUGUAUGACUUCCAUGAGCUUGAAUGACUGCUUCCAUGCGGUUUGCCAAGGAUUCAUACAUUUAUUUAUUGACAAAGGCAGUCGUCUUGCAUGCCUCCCAGAGUUCAUUACUAUUUGGUUUCGUUUUCCAUGCUUCCUCUUUCUUCCUACCCCACGUUUUCUCAAUCAUGUUCAUGUCAGGUGACUGGGCUGGCCAAUCCUGGAGCAUCUAGCAUCUUAGUGUUUAAGUUCAGUUCAGUUUAGCUCAGUUUAGUGUGGUGUAAAAUCAUUACUGAGAGCCUAAACACUGAAGAGCAAAUUCAUCGAUGAGUAGCUCUACCAAUCCCAAACCAAGCAAGCUAGAGGCGACAGGGGAGAGGGAAAAAAACAUCACUGAUUGGCGAAACCAGAAUCAGUUGGGCAUGACCAUUUUAAUUUCCCCACUGGCCAAACGUCUUGUGCAGAGCUGCAGUCUCAGCGGUGGAGUUAAUAAAAAAAUGGUCUAAUCAACAUGAGUUCAAAAAAUGUUGGUCAACAUGUUCUGUAGAUCAUGUGAUUACAUUUUGGUGAAAAUCAAUCAAAUGGCCUAGGACUUAGGAACAUAGAAAUAGCACAAAAUAAAUAAAUAAAUCAUGAAAGAAAAUGACGUCAUAGGGUGAAUUUUGAAUCGGCCUGAGCCCAGGAAUCAGGAAAAAAUCAUUUUGAUUGUAGCUCUUUUGGUUCAAAAGUUUUAAUAAUAAACAUAAGUGAAAUUUUGAACAAGUGCUGGUGCUAGAAAGUUUGCGUUAGAGAGUUCGGUAGCACAUUAUAUUAACUACACACUAUGAAUCAUUUACUAAGCAUUAACUUUUAGUAAAUUCAUAAUUUGUUAAUCAUUAACUCUAUAUUAAUAAACUAGUAAGCAGUUUAUAACUGCAGCUACAAAUGCUCUAUUCUUGACUUAUAAGCACCUAUAUAAUGUGCUUAAUAAUUGUAUUUUCAUACUUAGUUAUUGAUUUAUUUUCAUUACUAAAUUAAGUAUUGCAUUAUUUACAAACCAGUUGUAUUUAGGAAUAGUUGAGGGUUUUUAGGAUCAUUCAGAAUGAGUUAGUAAAUGAUUAAUAAACUAUUGAAAUCAACAUGUAUAUGUCUUAUUAUUCAGGCAUAUACUAAUAGUCAACUAAUAUGUUAAUGAAUGCUGUAUUAACUCAACUUCAUGUGGUUUUGUGACCCAAUCUAAAGUGAGGACUGAUUAUGCUUUAUAAAUCCCUUAUAAAUGACUUUUAAAGGCUCAGAAUCAAAUGAACAACAACAUUUGCAAUCUUUUUUAAAAAGUAAAAUGAAUGUAAAGUUUAAACGUUGCUGAAUAACAGAAGUGUCAAAAUACGACACAAAACUGGAAAAAAACAACAAUAUAAUAAUUUAACAAUGUAAUAAAAUGUAAUGUUUAAACUCUGCAGUGAUUUUAUUUUAGAUAAGGCUGCAAAGAUUUAUUUUUCGUUUGAAGUACAGUUUCAUUUGUGUAUCUUGAAUUGAAUAGGAAUGAAUAAUGUCAUUUUCCCUGUUUAGAAUUUAACUGAGCCUUUAUUUGUCAUUUAUAAAGGAUUUAUAAAGCAUGAAUAGUCCUCACUUUAGAUCAGGUCACAAAAUUAGAUGAAGUUGAGUUAAUAAAGCAUUUAUUAACAUACAUAGUAACCAUUAAUAUAUGCCUGAAUAAUAAGACAUAUAAAUGUUGAUUUCAAUAGUUUAUUAAUCAUUUACUAACUCAUUCUGAAUGAUCCUAAAAACCCUCAACUGCUCUUAAAUACAAAUGGUUUGUAAAAAAUCCAAUACUCAAUUUAGUAAUGAAAAAUAAAUCAUUAACACAGUUUGAAAGUACAAUUAUUAAGCACAUUUUAAAUAUGUUUGUAAGUCAAGAACAGAGAAUUUGUAGCUGCAGUUAUAAACUGCUUACUAACGUUUAAUAAUGUAGAGUUAAUGCUUAACAUUUAAUGAAUUCACUAUUUGCUAAUGCUUAAUAAAUGAUUUAUAGUGUGUAGCUAUUAUAAAGUGUUAUCGAGAGUUCAAAUGUGUUGUGGUUGAAGAUCAGACUGUCGUCUAUCAGUGUGACAAAGUUUGCGCAAACGGUUCAUAGGGCUCCCAUAGACUCCCAGAGCAGAAGAAGAAGAGAAUGAAGCUGGAAUAAAAUAAUAAGAAGAACCAGAAUGCACGUUUGGUGCUUGCCCCCUAAAAAUCACCAUAUAGUUUUGUGUAUGUGUACGCCUUCAGGGACUAGCGGGACAGGAGCUGUUUUCAGCGUCAAUUGCAAUCGAGAGUAAUUUUGCUUUAGCAUUGUUACAAAAAUAAUAUAUAUAAUUUUGUUGUCUGCUUAAUAUAAUUUUCUAACAAAAGAAAACAUGAAAUCUGUCUGUGCUUGCAGACAUGGAUCUGUGUUAUUGCCUUUUAAAUAAAUAUUCAAACUGCUUAAAGUAA
ensembl:lincRNA